rnacentral:sRNA from 1 species
AUAAAUAGAUUAGACAAAACCCAAAUAAAUCUCUAAACCUAGACAACGAACCAACAAAAUUGCAAAACCAAAAUCUCAAAAUCUUAAACUUUUAUCAAAUUUGGAAAUUGUUUUAGCGUUCUUAUAUUCUUAUCAAAUCGGUUUAAUUAUUUUGUUUGGGUUCACUUUUUACUAUCCCUUAGGGUAUAGAUUUCAUUAUUAUUGGAUUUUUGUGAUCAAAAACAAAAAAAAACCAAAAAAAAAAUUGAGAUUUUCUGGAAAUAUUAAGAAGAGAAAUAAGCGAUGAAGAAAGAAAGAAAGAAUAAAGAAAGAAUAAAGAAAGAAGAAGGAGAUUGAGGGCAAAAUGGUAAUUUUGUCUAACAGAAAAUGCUUAUCUCUAUAAACCAAACAAAAAGUGAUUUAUUCUGACUUUUUUAACUUAAAUGUACCCAAAUCUAUAAAGCCCCGUAAAAAGUACUUUUAUCUUUAUUUAUUUUUUUGUCAAACUAUAUACUAGUUAUUGUGGAGAUUGAUUAGUUGUUGUGUUUAUCUUGAUUCAUAACCUUUAGAAAAUAUAUA